CCUUCACCGGGAAGGCCCCGUUCCGGGGGAUGAGAUCCUCCCAGGGGAGGGCGCGGGUCCCCUCGAAAAGGGC
rnacentral:tRNA from 1 species